rnacentral:rRNA from 1 species
AACGCGAAGAACCUUACCUGGGUUUGACAUCCACUGACCGCCAUAGAGAUAUGGUUUCCCCUUCGGGGGCAGUGAGACAGGUGCUGCAUGGCUGUCGUCAGCUCGUAUCGUGAGAUGUCGGGUUAAGUCCCUUAACGAGCGCAACCCUUGUCCCUAGUUGCCAUCAUUUAGUUGGGCACUCUAGGGAGACCGCCGGUGUUAAACCGGAGGAAGGUGGGGAUGACGUCAAGUCCUCAUGGCCUUUAUAUCCAGGGCUACACACGUGCUACAAUGGCGAGUACAAAGGGUUGCUAACCCGCAAGGGGGAGCUAAUCUCAGAAAGCUCGUCUCAGUUCGGAUUGAAGUCUGCAACUCGACUUCAUGAAGCUGGAAUCGCUAGUAAUCGCGGAUCAGAACGCCGCGGUGAAUACGUUCCCGGGCCUUGUACACACCGCUCGUC